rnacentral:lncRNA from 1 species
AUAGUUACAUAGCAAUUACUAUUGUGUUAAUGGUCAUGGAAGAUUUGUCUUAGAAUAAGUACAUCAUGUUGAUAGCUUGUUCAUCUUGGUUGAAAGGGUCGAUUUCAAUUUGCAUGCUUUGUCUUUUCUUAGCCUCUCACUCGUACUCUCGCCAUUCUCUAUGGUCAAAGACCAAGUGUUUAGGAUUGGGCGUCACUGCCGUUUGAGACUGCCCAGUUCACAGCUCCACUCCUCACCUUUUCCCCACAGUUACUAUGGAGACUGUUGGGAAUUCCUUAGAAUUCCAGGGUUUCCUGUUUACAGGCCUGGGAGAUGGGAGGACUAUAGUCACAUUGGGGCGCAACAACAUCAACCAGUGGAGGCUCCUCAGAGGGGACGGUGCUCUCUGCCUGUGUCUUGUCAGUGUUCGGGAUCCCCAUGAUAUCCCUCUGUCUUCAAUUGAUCCUAAAGAACAGGACUAGAGACAGUUAUUAUACUGUAAAAAAACGUUCUUCAUGACAUAGGUUUAUAAAUAAUUGUAGAUAUUGUCAAAUCUACUGUGGUCUUUGACCAGGUUUCUCUUGAAAAUUGUAUUUAAAAAAAAACUAGAUUAAAUUUCAAUAAAUAAAGGUUUUACUGUAUGCUGUGUCUAACACAACCCAGAGAGCUAACUGG